UUUAUUGAGCACCUCCUAUCAA
rnacentral:miRNA from 4 species